rnacentral:misc_RNA from 1 species
AACUGAUACUACCUGCGGGAACCUGCGGAGGGAUCAUUGCUGGAACGCGCCCCAGGCGCACCCAGAAACCCUUUGUGAACUUAUACCUUACUGUUGCCUCGGCGCAUGCCGGCCCCCAGGGGCCCCUCGGAGACGAGGAGCAGGCACGCCGGCGGCCAACCUAACUCUUGUUUUUACACUGAAACUCUGAGAAAAAAAACAAAAUGAAUCAAAACUUUCAACAACGGAUCUCUAGAUCGG